rnacentral:rRNA from 1 species
CCUACGGGAGGCAGCAGUGGGGAAUCUUGCGCAAUGGGCGAAAGCCUGACGCAGCAACGCCGCGUGCGGGAUGAAGGCCUUCGGGUUGUAAACCGCUUUCAGCAGGGAAGAAAUUGACGGUACCUGCAGAAGAAGCCCCGGCCAACUACGUGCCAGCAGCCGCGGUAACACGUAGGGGGCGAGCGUUGUCCGGAUUUAUUGGGCGUAAAGAGCUCGUAGGCGGUUCGGUAAGUCGGGUGUGAAACCUCCAGGCUCAACCUGGAGACGCCACCUGAAACUGCUGUGACUAGAGUCCGGUAGGGGAGUGUGGAACUCCUGGUGUAGCGGUGAAAUGCGCAGAUAUCAGGAAGAACACCAGCGGCGAAGGCGGCACUCUGGGCCGGUACUGACGCUGAGGAGCGAAAGCGUGGGUAGCAAACAGGAUUAGAUACCCUGGUAGUCCACGCCGUAAACGUUGGGCACUAGGUGUGGGUCUCAACCAACGAGAUCCGUGCCGCAGCUAACGCAUUAAGUGCCCCGCCUGGGGAGUACGGCCGCAAGGCUAAAACUCAAAUGAAUUGACGG